GAGGAGUGGAGAAGGAAACAGUUGCAGUUGGCAGAAAAAAGGGUGAAAUGAGGAAUAAACUGCAAUAUUUCAGAAGUAGUGAGGAGACUAAACAAUGCCUAAGAUGACACCAUUAACAAAUGAUACACAAAUGGGUGUAUCUUCACCCCACAACACAAAGGUAACAACAAGACCAUAUUGGCCUACUGCAAAACAUAUUUUGAAAAUGUUCGAUGUAGUUUCAAGAGCUAGGAGGACAGUCUUGAAGAAAGGAGAGCUCAGGAAUAAAGGAAACAAGACACAAAGGAAGAAUGUUUUUCUUUACCUCUGCCCUAUCUAAUGUGUUCAGUGCUCAAACUUCUAUUUUUUUCUGUGCUUUUGCAGCUGUACAAAGCCAGGCGUAGUAUCCUCUAUAGCACUGAAGAGGCUGUAUGGAAAAGACCUACAAUGGAUCUCAUGACAGAGGAGGAGAACGCCAUCUUGGAUAGAAAGCCUGUGUGGGUCGUGCGACCUCCACAUCGUAGCAGCGAAUUCAUUACAGCAACUUGAAGGGGACAAAAAAUAUGUUGCAUGUCCACACCAAGAGUUGCACUAAAUGCCUCCAACGGCAUGUACAUUUCUACAUUUUAAUAAGCUUUCACUUGUGUAGCGCUUUCUAUCUUCCAAGGUACU